rnacentral:rRNA from 1 species
CAGUAGCCGCGGGAACACGUAGGGUGCAAGCGUUAAUCGGAAUUACUGGGCGUAAAGCGUGCGCAGGCGGUUAUAUAAGACAGAUGUGAAAUCCCCGGGCUCAACCUGGGAACUGCAUUUGUGACUGUAUAGCUAGAGUACGGCAGAGGGGGAUGGAAUUCCGCGUGUAGCAGUGAAAUGCGUAGACAUGCGGAGGAACACCGAUGGCGAAGGCAAUCCCCUGGGCCUGUACUGACGCUCAUGCACGAAAGCGUGGGGAGCAAACAGGAUUAGAUACCCCUGUAGUCCCUGUCUCUUAUAC